rnacentral:snRNA from 1 species
GUGCUCGCUUUGGCAGUACAUAUACUAAAAUUAGAAGACUAGCAUGGCCCCUGUGCAAGGAUGACAUGCCUAUCUGUGAAGCAUUCCAUGUUAAA